UGGCGAUAUUCACAUUACUUUCAGUUUAUUGCUCGAAAGGACUAAAAUAUUCGUGUGAAAUGCACACUAUGCCUAGGCGACAAGUGUCUUUCAACUGCUGCCAACUCGAUGAGCAACCUGUCUAAGCAUUUGUCAGCCCAGCAUGGCAAUACAAAACUUGUGGCGAAAGAUCCUGCUCACCGGUCAUUUGAAGGAGUCACUCAUCAUCAGCCGACCCCGGCUAAACAAGCUAAGCUUUUCUCAAGUCUUGGAGCGCAGCAGAAUCAGAUGAGACAUUUUCACUGCCGCCUCAUCUGCGCUGUGCAUCACAUACACUAAACCUGAUCGCAAAAAAUGACCUAGAGAAAUGGCUGACCAGUAACAAUGACUGUAAAGCAGUUUACAGAAGUGCUCUUGCCAAGUGUGCAGCUCUCUGGACAAAAACUAGUUGCUCUAUUGUGGCUUCAGACCAGGUUGAGGAUGUGCUAAAAAGAAAGCUCAUCAUACCCACUGCUACACGCUGGAACUCAACUUAUGACGCCUUGUCUCUCAUCACAGAAAUCCCAAUCAGAGAUUUAAACACCAUUUUUUUCUAGACUGAGUGUAAAGAGCAUCACUGAGCGAGAGUAUCAGUUCCUGAAGGAAUAUUGUGCAGUGUUAAGUCCUCUUGCUGCUGCAUUAGAUAUACUACAAGGAGAAGAUGAUUGCUACUACGGCACCCUCCUGCCAACCUAGAGAUUCUCAUGUCAAAGUUGCUUGCAUUGAAGGAUGGCCUUUCCCAGAUGACAGCUGGCAUGCCUGGUGCUAUUGUACAGGCAAUCAAAGACAGAUUUGCAUCCGUUUUGGACAGCAAGGAUGCUCUGAUGGCUGCUGCCACAACGCCCAAAUUAAAGGUCCGCUGGCUCAAAGAUGAGAAGAGAAGAGAUGCUGUUAAAACCAUGCUAAUUUCUGAGUGUCGUGCCCGGAUUCCUGACAAGCCACUGAUGAGACCAGCAGUUCAGAGCCCUGCCGCCUCCAGUCACAAUGACUUUUUUGAAUUUGAAAAGUUUUUUUUCUACACCGCAGAGACUGAAGUCAUGGAGUACUUAAAAAUGCCUGGAUCUGACUGGGAGGUUCUCUCCAGGUUCCCCAGGAUUAAGGAAAUUGCAAAGCAGUGCAACACUCCAAUACCGUCAAGUGCACCGGUCGAAAGGCUUUUCAGCCUGGGCAGUAUUGUUCUGACCCCAAAGAGGAACAGGCUGUCAGAUAAAAGAAUUGAAAGACUUUUACUUAUGCGAUACAAUCGUUAUUUCGAAGAAUAGAGAGAAAAAUGAAUUGAAUGGGAUAAAGUUUAUGAGAUAAACUUUUUGUUGCACUUUCUAUUUUCACUGUUGCACUUUUGUUGCACUUUCUGUUUUGUGCAUUGUGAUAAUUGCAACAAACAAUAAUUCUUUAAUAGGUUCAAAAGUUUGUGACUUGGUAUGUUACCGCCUCUGGAAGCCACAUCUCCAGGAGUCAGAGGAGAGCGAGCUAAGGGGAAAACGGGGUGAGGGUUUUUGGAAUAACGUGAAUUUUCUGUUUAAUUAAUUACUUUCAUUUUCUAUUUCCUUUUUUGGGCUUAAGUGCAUUUUAAAUUAAGAUUUAUUUUUUAUAGGAUAAAGUGACCUUUAUUUUUAUAUUUUUCAUUGACCACUUCUUU